rnacentral:rRNA from 1 species
UACGUAGGGGGCUAGCGUUGUCCGGAUUUAUUGGGCGUAAAGAGCUCGUAGGCGGUUUGUUGCGUCGGCCGUGAAAACCUGCAGCUUAACUGUGGGCCUGCGGUCGAUACGGGCAGACUUGAGUUCGGUAGGGGAGACUGGAAUUCCUGGUGUAGCGGUGAAAUGCGCAGAUAUCAGGAGGAACACCGGUGGCGAAGGCGGGUCUCUGGGCCGAUACUGACGCUGAGGAGCGAAAGCGUGGGGAGCGAACAGG